rnacentral:rRNA from 1 species
UGGGGAAUAUUGGGCAAUGGGCGCAAGCCUGACCCAGCAACGCCGCGUGAGGGAAGAAGGCCUUCGGGUUGUAAACCUCUGUCCUUAGGGACGAAAAAAAUGACGGUACCUAAGGAGGAAGCUCCGGCUAACUACGUGCCAGCAGCCGCGGUAAUACGUAGGGAGCAAGCGUUGUCCGGAAUUACUGGGCGUAAAGGGUGCGUAGGCGGCUUGGCAAGUCAGAUGUGAAAUCCCCGGGCUUAACUCGGGGGGUGCAUUUGAAACUGCUGAGCUUGAGUGCAGGAGAGGAAAGCGGAAUUCCUAGUGUAGCGGUGAAAUGCGUAGAUAUUAGGAGGAACACCAGUGGCGAAGGCGGCUUUCUGGACUGUAACUGACGCUGAGGCACGAAAGCGUGGGGAGCAAACAG